CUGGCCGUAAACGAUGAACACUAAAUGUUGGGGGAAUCGACCCCCUCGGUGUCGUAGCUAACGCGUUAAGUGUUCCGCCUGGGGAGUACGCACGCAAGUGUGAAACUCAAAGGAAUUGACGGGGGCCCGCACAAGCGGUGGAGUAUGUGGUUUAAUUCGAUGCAACGCGAAGAACCCUACCAAGGCUUGACAUCCUGCGAAUCUCCAAGAAAUUGGAGAGUGCCUUUUGGAACGCAGUGACAGGUGGUGCAUGGCUGUCGUCAGCUCGUGUCGUGAGAUGUUGGGUUAAGUCCCGCAACGAGCGCAACCCACGUUUUUAGUUGCCAGCAUUCAGUUGGGCACUCUAGAAAGACUGCCGGUGACAAACCGGAGGAAGGUGUGGACGACGUCAAGUCAUCAUGCCCCUUACGCCUUGGGCUACACACGUACUACAAUGCUGCGGACAAAGAGUAGCGAUCUUGCGAAAGUUAGCUAAUCUCGUAAACCGUGGCUCAGUUCAGAUCGUAGGCUGCAACUCGCCUACGUGAAGGAGGAAUCGCUAGUAAUCGCAGGUCAGCAUACUGCGGUGAAUACGUUCCCGGGCCUUGUACACACCGCCCGUCACACCAUGGAAGUUGGCCAUGCCCGAAGUCGUUACUCUAACCUUUUGGAAGAGGGCGCCGAAGGCAGGGCUAAUGACUGGGGUGAAGUCGUAACAAGGUAGCCGUAGCGGAAGCUGCGGCUGGAUCACCUCCUAA
rnacentral:rRNA from 1 species